rnacentral:rRNA from 1 species
AUUGAACGCUAGCGGGAUGCCUUACACAUGCAAGUCGAACGGAGUGGCGAACGGGUGAGUAAUGUAUCGGAACGUGCCCAGUAGCGGUGGAUAACUACGCGAAAGCGUAGCUAAUACCACAUACUAUUGGAGCGGCCUGUACCGGAUUAGCUAGAUGGUGGGGUAACGGCUCAGCAAGGCGACGAUCCGUAGCUGGUUUGAGAGGAAGACCAGCCACACUGGGACUGAGACACGGCCCAGACUCCUACGGGAGGCAGCAGUGGGGAAUAUUGGACAAUGGGGGCAACCCUGAUGCAGCCAUCCCGCGUGUGCGAGGAAGGCCUGCGGGUUGUAAAGCACUUUUGGCAGGAAAGCGGUACCUGCAGAAUAAGCACCGGCUAACUACGUGCCAGCAGCCGCGGUAAUAC